UUUACGAUCUAUAGUACAAUGUCUUGUUUAGAAAAAAAUCAUGAUCAGUGACCAUGGAUAUAUUAUUUCAAGUGCUAUAAAUACAAUGUUAGGGUGUUAGGAACUGAUCAACAAGUGAGAUCGAAUCCUAUACAUAUUACAAGAUGAAAAUGGAGAAGAGUACUAAGAAUAGUGUGGUGAUGAUGAUGAGCUAUAUUAUAGUUGUUGUUCUUGUGUUUCUUCCAUCUACUAGUUUUGCAGGUGGCGGGAGAGCUCUGAAUAAUCUUCAACUUUACUCCUCUGAUCAUCCUGGACAGGCACAGGUCACUCUCACUAUCGAACCUUCUCUUUCAGAUAUAUUAUUGCUACAAAGUUCAGGAAAGAAUGCUCAAUGCUUUGGUAAAUUUUGCGCGCCUUGGUCACCUUGCCAACCUGGAUGUACAUGUCUUGGAACGAGUGGUACCGGAGCUUGUGUUGGAUUCUAAUAUGUAUUCUAUGUAAUGUCGAUUGUCGCCUACAUAUAUAUAUAUAUAUAUAUAUAUAUGUGAAAUAAUGUCAAUCAUAUAUAUAUAUAUAGUGCUAGUAGUAAUGAAUAAUAAUGUUAUACAUGAUAUGACAUGAGCAUGCAUAUUUACGUACGGUGUAUAUAUGCAUGCAUAUGCAUGUUAUUAGUGUAACUUAAUUUAUGUAUGCCUUUAAUUCCUUGAUAAAAUGGAAUACUAUUAUUAAUAAGUCGUGUGUUGUGUUUUGUACGAUUUACUUAUUAUCCAAACUAUUACCACUUUCAAAUUUGUAUGUUUGUUUUUAGUCUUGUUCACUAGUGUAAAUUUGUUAAGAUUGAGUGAGUAUUAGUUUAAGGUGUUAGUCUAACGUGAAACCAUUUUGAAUUAUCACUACAAGAAAAUUAGGCUCUAGGGAUGACAUUAAAAUUUUCGUCGCUAGAGGUACUUCGAGAGACAGGUGUGCAUAUCUCUCCUAUUUCACGCGAAACCAAAUAAGAAACCCCAAAACUUAUUUUUUCCUCAGUAAUUAAUCUUUCCUCUUAGACCCCAUACCCCAAACCCCACUCUCUCCUCUCAGACCUCAAACCUCAAACCCCAAACCUCUGUAAGUCUCCCCUCUCUCUCUUCUCUUAGACCUCAAACCCCAAAUUCCCAACUCGACUUUCAUAGGCGGCGGCGUCCUUUGAUCAUCCUCUCGAGCAGCUCCAUCGUAUAGGUGGCGUCCCCAAGCUCUCUGAUCAUCCUCUCAGCAUUCACAGGUAUAUAUAUAUUUAUAUAAAUAUUCUGUUUGAUUUAUUGUUAAUAUUGUUAACUUAAUUUGUGUGUAUAUAUAUACUCUUUUGUGAGCCAGUGUAGUCUUGGCUAGAGGCAGUCUUCAUUUGAUUUACUCUUCAUUUGAGAUUUUGUCUAAAAGAAGACUAUCAUUAUGUUGUCCCAGCUAUAUGUUCAAAUUGACAGGUAUGUUGUUUGUUUAUUUUGAGUCCUAUUUUGUGCCUGUUUUUAUGGUUUAGUCUAUGUUUUGUGCUUUGUAUUUUGUGCCCUAUUUUGGGGCAAUAAUAUGUAUCUUCCUAUUUCCUUUUUCUUUGGUGGGAUUUGGGCUACGAUGUUGGCUUGUUUUUGGGUAACAUGGUUAGAAUGGAAUAGCAGAAUUUUUGAUGAAAAGUCUUGCCAUUAUGAUAUCAUUUGGGAGAUGGUUAAGUUUUGGGUUGCUACUUGAGUGUAUCGCACAUAGGGUUUUGAGGGGUUAUCCUUCUUGGAUCUCUCUAGAGAGUGGAUAAGUUUUUUGUCUAUGUAGUUAAAGUUGUUUUGUUUAUGUUUUUUGUACCAAAGUUUUCAUCUGCCAUAAGUGAAGGUUAUUUAUAUAUGUGAAAGGGGCUCGACCUAGUGUUUGGUCUUUGUCUCCUUAUUUUUUUUUUUAAAAAAAGUUUGUACCAUUCGCUGAAAUAGUUUUCAAAUAAUGAAAUCAAAUAUAUGAAUAUUUUUUUAACGCAUAAAUAUAGCAUAAAAUUGUGUUUUGAUUAUGAUUUUCUCGAUAGUGGCUCGAUAGGGUUAUAUUGUAGCUCGAUGAUAGCUCAAUAGAGCUUGAUGACAAUGUUUACUUAGUUUUCUUACCAAUUGCUUUCACGUGUAGAUGCAGAUGCCGAAGUUGCUUUUCGUUUCGAGAUUAUGACUUUCCAGGUCGAGUCACAUAUAGGGGUGGUAGUGUUAGAAUAUUUAUUUAUAUAGUAUAUAAAAUCAAUUUGUUACAACUAAUUGAUUUAAUAUAUCAAAGUAAAUAUUUUAUUUAUUGACAAAAUAUUCUAAUUAAGGGUCAACAUUAUUUGUUACUCAAUUUUGUUUGUUACUCGAUUUUGCAUAUCACAACUGAUUGAGAGAAUAUCUCAAUCUGUGGCAGAGACUCUGAUGGUAGGUCUCACUCUAUAAAUAUAGAGUACCGGUCCCCAAGCUCACUGCUCAUUCUAACUUUCAGUAACUCCAUCUAAAAGAGUUAGUGAGAGCUUGGAAGCCUGUGUAUUCGUUCUAAUUUCUAUUUCUUUUGUAGAUCUAAAGUUAGAUCGAGGUUCACCAAAUCAAUGGAUGGAGCUUCUUCAUCCUCCUCUAGUUUCGCUGAAAUCCUUACCGAAAUUCCUGAGCUUAGGGGUGAAAAUUUCAAAAUUUGGAAAGAACGAGUUCUUCUUCAUUUAGGCUGCGCCAAUAUGGACUACGCAAUAAGGAAGGAUGAACCUGCUGUAAUCACUGUGACUAGCACUGCUGCAGAGAUCGUACUAUAUGAAAAAUGGGAGCGAUCCAAUUGCCUCAGCAUCAUUUGCAGCUAGCACUGCUGCUGAGAUCGUACUAUAUGAUCGGUGCAGUUCGACACUUUAGACAAACCACUUUACAGCAACCUCAUCCACCAAUUCUCAUCCACAAAGGUCACUGGUGUCAAAAGACUUAGAGAACAUAUCUUAAAUAUGAGGGACAUUUCUGCUCAACUGAAGAAGCUCGAUGUAGUCAUUCCUGAAACCUUCCUGGUCCACUACAUCCUUAACAAUCUUCCACCUCAAUACGGGCCUUUCAAAAUUUCCUACAACACACAUAAGGACAAAUGGAGUAUCAAUGAACUGAACCAUGUGUGCUCAAGAAGAAGCAAGGCUCCUACAGGAAUAAGGUGAAAGUGCUCACAUGGCCACCCAAGGAAAGAAACGCAAACCAUCCAAGAAGGACAAGGGGAAAAAUAACGUGCCUCCCCUAGGCGAAAUAAAGAAGGAUUCCAUCAAGUGUUUUUUCUGCAAAAAGAAGGGAGGUGUGAAAAAAGAAUGCGCCAAGUUCAAGAAGUGGAUGGACGACAAAGGGUUUACAAAAGGAAGCUAGUGGGAAGUGACCAAAGCAUCUUAUUUGGAAAUAAGAUGGGCUCACAUGUGGAGGCUAUUGGAACGUGCCAUUUAGUUUUAAGUAGAAGUUUUAUUUUAAAGUUAGAAAAGAAAUUUUAUGUACCAAGUUUCUCUAGAAAAUUGAUUUCCAUUUCAAGACUUGUACCUUUUGGUUUUUCCUUUACAUUUUCAGAUAAAUCUUUAAUUUAUAUAAUAAAUCUGAAUGUAUUGGAAAUUGUAUUUUUUCUAAUGGUCUUUACUGCCUUAAUUUAUAGAACAAUAUCGCUUAUAAUACUGUGCACGUUCACGCUGGCAAUAAACGAUGUGUUAUGAAUAAGAAUUUCUCUACAUUAUGGCACCGGAGAUUGGGACAUAUUUCCAUUGAUAGAAUUAGAAGGUUAGUGAAAGAUGGGGUGCUCAAUACCUUAGAUUUUACUGAUUUGGAUACUCGUGUGGAUUGCAUUAAGGGAAAUCAUACCUCCAAGUCUAAGAAAAGUGGUGUCCAUAGGAGUUCCGACCUAUUAGAAAUCAUACAUAUUGAUAUAUGUAGUCCAGACAUGGAAUCAUAUGGUCAGAAAUAUUUCAUCUCCUUCAUAGAUGAUUACUUAUGCUACAUGUAUAUCUACUUACUUCAUAACAAAAGCGAAGCAUUAGAUGUCUUUAAGAUAUUUAAAGCUGAAGUAGAGAAACAAUGCAACAAGCAAAUUAAAAUAGUGAAAUCAGAUAGAGGUGGAGAAUAUUAUGGUAGAUACACUGAAGAUGGACAAGCACCUGG